rnacentral:rRNA from 1 species
CUGCAGCCCGAGUGGUGGUCGAUUUUAUUGAGCCUAAAGCGUCCGUAGCCGGACUAGUAAACCCUUGGGUAAAUUGGGCAGCUUAACUGUCCAAAUUCCGAGGGGACUGCUAGUCUUGGGACCGGGAGAGGUCAGAGGUACUCAAGGGGUAGGGGCUAAAUCCUGUAAUCCUUUGGGGACCACCAGUGGCGAAGGCGUCUGACUAGAACGGAUCCGACGGUAAGGGACGAAACCCUGGGGCGCGAACCGGAUUAGAUACCCGCGUAGUCC